rnacentral:lncRNA from 1 species
AGUGUGUGAAUGGCAUUUAAUUGGUUGAUCUGGGGUCCUUGUUGGGGUAGUUGGUUGUUCUGAUUUUUGAGAUUAGUCUCGGAUUGACUUGGUAGUCUAUCUUUUUCUCUUUCACUAAUUGUGGUGGCUAACUGAUCGAGCUGUGUUUCUAGAUGGAUAAUUACCUGGAUAUUUGCAUUUAAUAGUUGGCUUAUGGUCUGCAUGAAAUUGUUUAGUGUACUCAUGAUUUUGGAGGUU